GAUGAACGCUGGCGGCGUGCCUAAUACAUGCAAGUCGAGCGAACAGACGAGGAGCUUGCUCCUCUGACGUUAGCGGCGGACGGGUGAGUAACACGUGGAUAACCUACCUAUAAGACUGGGAUAACUUCGGGAAACCGGAGCUAAUACCGGAUAAUAUAUUGAACCGCAUGGUUCAAUAGUGAAAGACGGUUUUGCUGUCACUUAUAGACGGAUCCGCGCCGCAUUAGCUAGUUGGUAAGGUAACGGCUUACCAAGGCAACGAUGCGUAGCCGACCUGAGAGGGUGAUCGGCCACACUGGAACUGAGACACGGUCCAGACUCCUACGGGAGGCAGCAGUAGGGAAUCUUCCGCAAUUGGCGAAAGCCUGACGGAGCAACGCCGCGUGAGUGAUGAAGGUCUUCGGAUCGUAAAACUCUGUUAUUAGGGAAGAACAAAUGUGUAAGUAACUAUGCACGUCUUGACGGUACCUAAUCAGAAAGCCACGGCUAACUACGUG
rnacentral:rRNA from 1 species